GCUACGGCCAUACCAGCCUGGGUACGCCCGAUCUCGUCUGAUCUCGGAAGCUAAGCAGGGUCGGGCCUGGUUAGUACCUGGAUGGGAGACCGCCUGGGAAUACCAGGUGCUGUAAGCA
rnacentral:rRNA from 1 species